rnacentral:rRNA from 1 species
AGUGGGAGCCUCUUUUAUGGGGUGACUGCGUACCUUUUGUAUAAUGGGUCAGCGACUUAUAUUCUGUAGCAAGGUUAACCGAAUAGGGGAGCCGAAGGGAAACCGAGUCUUAACCGGGCGUUAAGUUGCAGGGUAUAGACCCGAAACCCGGUGAUCUAGCCAUGGGCAGGUUGAAGGUUGGGUAACACUAACUGGAGGACCGAACCGACUAAUGUUGAAAAAUUAGCGGAUGACUUGUGGCUGGGGGUGAAAGGCCAAUCAAACCGGGAGAUAGCUGGUUCUCCCCGAAAGCUAUUUAGGUAGCGCCUCGUGAAUUCAUCUCCGGGGGUAGAGCACUGUUUCGGCAAGGGGGUCAUCCCGACUUACCAACCCGAUGCAAACUGCGAAUACCGGAGAAUGUUAUCACGGGAGACACACGGCGGGUGCUAACGUCCGUCGUGAAGAGGGAAACAACCCAGACCGCCAGCUAAGGUCCCAAAGUCAUGGUUAAGUGGGAAACGAUGUGGGAAGGCCCAGACAGCCAGGAUGUUGGCUUAGAAGCAGCCAUCAUUUAAAGAAAGCGUAAUAGCUCACUGGUCGAGUCGGCCUGCGCGGAAGAUGUAACGGGGCUAAACCAUGCACCGAAGCUGCGGCAGCGACACUGUGUGUUGUUGGGUAGGGGAGCGUUCUGUAAGCCUGUGAAGGUGUACUGUAAGGUAUGCUGGAGGUAUCAGAAGUGCGAAUGCUGACAUAAGUAACGAUAAAGCGGGUGAAAAGCCCGCUCGCCGGAAGACCAAGGGUUCCUGUCCAACGUUAAUCGGGGCAGGGUGAGUCGACCCCUAAGGCGAGGCCGAAAGGCGUAGUCGAUGGGAAACAGGUUAAUAUUCCUGUACUUGGUGUUACUGCGAAGGGGGGACGGAGAAGGCUAUGUUGGCCGGGCGACGGUUGUCCCGGUUUAAGCGUGUAGGCUGGUUUUCCAGGCAAAUCCGGAAAAUCAAGGCUGAGGCGUGAUGACGAGGCACUACGGUGCUGAAGCAACAAAUGCCCUGCUUCCAGGAAAAGCCUCUAAGCAUCAGGUAACAUCAAAUCGUACCCCAAACCGACACAGGUGGUCAGGUAGAGAAUACCAAGGCGCUUGAGAGAACUCGGGUGAAGGAACUAGGCAAAAUGGUGCCGUAACUUCGGGAGAAGGCACGCUGAUAUGUAGGUGAAGUCCCUCGCGGAUGGAGCUGAAAUCAGUCGAAGAUACCAGCUGGCUGCAACUGUUUAUUAAAAACACAGCACUGUGCAAACACGAAAGUGGACGUAUACGGUGUGACGCCUGCCCGGUGCCGGAAGGUUAAUUGAUGGGGUCAGCGCAAGCGAAGCUCUUGAUCGAAGCCCCGGUAAACGGCGGCCGUAACUAUAACGGUCCUAAGGUAGCGAAAUUCCUUGUCGGGUAAGUUCCGACCUGCACGAAUGGCGUAAUGAUGGCCAGGCUGUCUCCACCCGAGACUCAGUGAAAUUGAACUCGCUGUGAAGAUGCAGUGUACCCGCGGCAAGACGGAAAGACCCCGUGAACCUUUACUAUAGCUUGACACUGAACAUUGAGCCUUGAUGUGUAGGAUAGGUGGGAGGCUUUGAAGUGUGGACGCCAGUCUGCAUGGAGCCGACCUUGAAAUACCACCCUUUAAUGUUUGAUGUUCUAACGUGGACCCGUGAUCCGGGUUGCGGACAGUGUCUGGUGGGUAGUUUGACUGGGGCGGUCUCCUCCUAAAGAGUAACGGAGGAGCACGAAGGUUGGCUAAUCCUGGUCGGACAUCAGGAGGUUAGUGCAAUGGCAUAAGCCAGCUUGACUGCGAGCGUGACGGCGCGAGCAGGUGCGAAAGCAGGUCAUAGUGAUCCGGUGGUUCUGAAUGGAAGGGCCAUCGCUCAACGGAUAAAAGGUACUCCGGGGAUAACAGGCUGAUACCGCCCAAGAGUUCAUAUCGACGGCGGUGUUUGGCACCUCGAUGUCGGCUCAUCACAUCCUGGGGCUGAAGUAGGUCCCAAGGGUAUGGCUGUUCGCCAUUUAAAGUGGUACGCGAGCUGGGUUUAGAACGUCGUGAGACAGUUCGGUCCCUAUCUGCCGUGGGCGCUGGAGAACUGAGGGGGGCUGCUCCUAGUACGAGAGGACCGGAGUGGACGCAUCACUGGUGUUCGGGUUGUCAUGCCAAUGGCACUGCCCGGUAGCUAAAUGCGGAAGAGAUAAGUGCUGAAAGCAUCUAAGCACGAAACUUGCCCCGAGAUGAGUUCUCCCUGACCCUUUAAGGGUCCUGAAGGAACGUUGAAGACGACGACGUUGAUAGGCCGGGUGUGUAAGCGCAGCGAUGCGUUGAGCUAACCGGUACUAAUGAACCGUGAGGCUUAACCUUACAACGCCGAAGGUGUUU